UAAUACGUAGGGAGCAAGCGUUGUCCGGAUUUACUGGGUGUAAAGGGUGCGUAGGCGGCUUUGCAAGUCAGAUGUGAAAUCUAUGGGCUCAACCCAUAGCCUGCAUUUGAAACUGCAGAGCUUGAGUGAAGUAGAGGCAGGCGGAAUUCCCCGUGUAGCGGUGAAAUGCGUAGAGAUGGGGAGGAACACCAGUGGCGAAGGCGGCCUGCUGGGCUUUAACUGACGCUGAGGCACGAAAGCGUGGGUAGCAAACAGGAUUAGAUACCCUGGUAGUCCACGCUGUAAACGAUGAUUACUAGGUGUGGGGGGUCUGACCCCUUCCGUGCCGGAGUUAACACAAUAAGUAAUCCACCUGGGGAGUACGGCCGCAAGGUUG
rnacentral:rRNA from 1 species